AACCUAAUGUGUAAUGUGUUCAGCAUGUGCCUGUCAUGUAGCAAAGGCAUGAAUGAUGGUUGCUGGGUUUUGGGGCUUUAAAUUUAAAGCAUUUUAAUAAAAAUCUCUAAGGGGAAACCGUGCAUUUUUCUCUACUCUCAUGAGCAUUUAACACAUUCUUCCCAGAAGCUGUACGUUUCAAAAUAAAUCUGAUGAGCACACCUUUAAAAUGCUUCCCUUUCCUUUCCCUAAAAUGUUCACUAAGGGAUUUUUCUAUAAAUGCUUUGGUAGCAAUUCCCAAAGUCACUGUACCAUUGCUGCCUCAAGCUUUGUGUGUUAGUCAUUUCACAUUUUACACUGAGAUUACACAAAGGGGCAUGCUUUUAAGGAGCAGGUGGAAAUCACUUUGAAUUACUUAUUUUAUAAGCCAUUUUGUUAGCAUAGAGUUUAUAAUCUGAUAUUUGUGUUCUCUCUGGAGGGUAAAAAUGAGUGUUUGGCUUCUAAAUAUUAAACUCUCGUUAGAGUGUUAUUCCGUUUUUAAGUGUUGAUGUAAUAUCUUUUGUUUUACAAAACUAGCUUGACAAAAGUAAGCUGAAGCCAGGAACAAGAGUUGCUUUGGAUAUGACUACACUAACUAUCAUGAGAUAUUUGCCGAGAGAGGUGGAUCCACUGGUUUAUAACAUGUCUCAUGAGGACCCUGGGAAUGUUUCUUAUUCUGAGAUUGGAGGGCUAUCAGAACAGAUCCGGGAAUUAAGAGAGGUGAUAGAAUUACCUCUUACAAACCCAGAGUUAUUUCAGCGUGUAGGAAUAAUACCUCCAAAAGGCUGUUUGUUAUAUGGACCACCAGGUUGGUAUUGAAUUAUUUCUACUCCACCAAUAAGAUAAAUGAAUUAAGGAAUUAAAAAAAAAAA
rnacentral:sRNA from 1 species